ensembl:misc_RNA Metazoa_SRP Metazoan signal recognition particle RNA
GCUGGGCAUGGUGGCAUGCCUGUAGUCCCAGCUACUUACUGGGGAGGCUAAAGCAGAAGGAUCAUUCUAGUCCAGGCAAUCUGGGCUAUAGUGCACUAUGCUGAUUUGGGUUCACACUAAGUUUGGUAUCAAUACAGUGACCUCCCUGGGAAUAGAAAACCACCAGGUUGUCUAAAGAGGGGCGAACAGUCCCAGUUCAGAAACAGAGCAGGUCAAAACUCCCAUACUGAACAGCAGUGGGAUUGCACCUGUGUAUAGCCACUGCAUUCCAGCCUGAGCAACAUUAUGAGACCUCGUCUCUU